CCUCAAAUGUCAUCCAUGUUUUGUAACAAACAAGGCUGGUCCCCUGGCCUAAGCCAUCAUAAACAUUGGACCCUCGUACACUGUUACGGCCCUUCAUAUCAGCACAACCCCAUAAGAAGCUGGCUCUGGACCAGAUAGCCAACCCCCUGCCGGCGAUCUCUGAGGCGGCGCCCCACACUGUGCUGAUAGAGAGUGGGCCUGUGGUCUAUGAUGAUGUGGGAGAUGAGGAGGAUGAGGAAGAGCCCUGCAGCUGUUGGGAGGCAACGAGUAUGGAUGUGAUGACGAUGAUGGAUUCUAGCACUACUGGGUCUGGCCUGUUUCUCUGGACUGUCAUGCCACUGUAUCAGCCCUCCGACCCCUGUCCACAGACUUACACAUGACACAUGACUUGUAUGCUCUCAGGGAGGUUGGAGGUGAUGACGAGGGUCCGUUUCUCCUCAGGAUAUCUCCUUUAACUAGGAAAGAGGUUGUGGGUAGUAUUGUGCUGGAUCUAACAAAGAGACAUUAUGGUUAGUCUAUCUUCCUUCCUACAUUUCACAGGUCACUCAAGUAUAUGUCCCCCCUCUAUCAUGGCCAAUUAUGUCUCUGUAUUCUUCACAUGAAAGUACACUACCUAAUGGUGAGAUGUGUUGGGAACAAUUGUCUCUCCCAGCUAAUAUGAGAACGGGUAUUAGUCCAAUCAGUAUUACAAUCACAGCUACUUAAGAACAAAUCAUGAAAAAUCUGUAUGGGAGUUUACUUCUCGAAAACAAAAUAUUGCAUUAAUGUUGCCUUGAAUAUGCCAAACCAUAUGGCGUAUGUUUUUCAGUUGAACUGGUAGCAUUUUUUAUUGAUUUUUCAACGCUGUUUUUUCUUGCAUUAUGUGGUCUGAUUUCUCAUGACAUUCUUUAUGGAGAAAUAUUCUACUAAAUGUUUUGAAGGGAUCAGGAAGUGUUAAUCAUUUGUACGUAGAACUGGCAAAUAUCUGAAUUAUUGUUGAUGAUGAACAAAGCAAUCUUAUGCAUUCCUAAUUAAUGACAUAAUUGUGUUCUGGGUUUAUUUUGUAAAUGAGCUUUUAUGGUUAUAUAUUUUUAAAUGUUGAUUGGGAGGAUUAAUGGUGAUUUGUUCAAUAUGUUCUUGAUGUACAACUGUAUUUAAUGAGGUGAGGAAAUUGCUAAUUUUCCCAGCCCUCUCUCUCCUUUUUGCUGCUACUGUACGUGUGUGAAAGUGUUGCCUCAGUAAAUCUCCUACCAACAGGA
ensembl:lncRNA